rnacentral:rRNA from 1 species
UACGGAGGGUGCAAGCGUUAUCCGGAUUCACUGGGUUUAAAGGGUGCGUAGGCGGACAGGUAAGUCAGUGGUGAAAUCUCUGGGCUUAACUCAGAAACUGCCGUUGAUACUAUUUGUCUUGAAUAUCUUGGAGGUAAGCGGAAUAUGUCAUGUAGCGGUGAAAUGCUUAGAUAUGACAUAGAACACCAAUAGCGAAGGCAGCUCGCUGGGACGUUACUGACACUGAGGCGCGAAAGCGUGGGGAGCGAACAGG